UUCCUUCUCUUAUGACUCAGGUUAUUGACAGCUGGGAAAAGGCACACACCUCUGACUGAUGGUGACCCAAAAAGAAAUCAUAGAGAAGCAAAUUUGGCUCCACUGGUUUGAUUUUUCCUUCCUUCCUCCUUACACAUCCAAGGAGGUUUUGCUCUGGAAAUCUCUUGCUAUGGAAUGCCUAACAAACCUGAACCAGGAAACCCUUUACCAACAGGAAGUGACCCAGUCUUUCUGCAUGGCAGGUGGCCACGCUGCCACCUGCUCCCUUCCUGUUAGUCAUGACUCCAAGGGUCUUGACAGAGGGUAGUGACAGGCAACUGGAGAUCUGGAAAGAAAAUCUCUCUUCAAAGCAGGUUUGCUGUGUUGCAAACGCCAGGGGACAUCAGUCACAGAGACCUGAAUGUACACAGCACCCCCUGGAGUUGGCAAUGCGGAGGCUCUGGCUGUUGAUCCCAAAGAAGAUUUAAAUUGCAGUCCAUUAUAUUUUUCUCUCAGACUUCUGUUUCUUUGAAUAUUCCAAAUAGAUUAAAAUAUAAUCUGGAA